rnacentral:rRNA from 1 species
AACAAACGCUGGCGGCGUGUCUUAAGCAUGCAAGUUGAGCGGCAAGGAGGAGAGAUCCUCCCUAGAGCGGCGGACUGGUGAGUAACGCGUGGGUAAUCUAUCGUAGGCAUGGGGAUAGUCACUAGAAAUAGUGGGUAAUACCGAAUACGUUCCAUGAGGGGAGUAUUCAUGGAAGAAAGGGUGCUACGGCACUGGCCUUAGGUGAGCUCGCGUCCCAUUAGCUAGUUGGUGAGGUAAAGGCCCACCAAGGCGAUGAUGGGUAGCCGGCCUGAGAGGGUGUACGGCCACACUGGGACUGAGAUACGGCCCAGACUCCUACGGGAGGCAGCAGCUAAGAAUAUUCCGCAAUGGACGAAAGUCUGACGGAGCGACGCCGCGUGGAUGAAGAAGGCCGAAAGGUUGUAAAAUCCUUUUGUUGGGGAAGAAUAACCAUGGGAGGGAAUGCCCGUGGGAUGACAUGAACCGACGAAUAAGUCCCGGCUAACUACGUG